UACGUAGGGUGCGAGCGUUGUCCGGAAUUAUUGGGCGUAAAGAGCUCGUAGGCGGUCUGUCGCGUCGAUCGUGAAAACUUGGGGCUUAACCCUGAGCUUGCGGUCGAUACGGGCAUGACUGGAGUUCGGCAGGGGAGACUGGAAUUCCUGGUGUAGCGGUGAAAUGCGCAGAUAUCAGGAGGAACACCGGUGGCGAAGGCGGGUCUCUGGGCCGAUACUGACGCUGAGGAGCGAAAGCGUGGGGAGCGAUCCGG
rnacentral:rRNA from 1 species